GAUCGUUCCUCUGGUUCUGGUUCUUCUGGUUCUGAUCAUCGUUGGUCUCUUAUUUCUGUUUCUCUGUAAGAAGCAUCAGUCUCGAGCAGGCGGUGAUUCAUUAUCUCAGACUAGAGCAGGAAAACAUGAAGUGGUUUCUCACACUGCUUGUGAUUAUGAGGAGAUUCAAGACUCUCACAAACAAUUACCUACACACCCCUCUGAUUCAUCUAACACUGUUUAUGCCACAGCUCAGUUACCCACAAACCCCUCUGAUUCUCCUGACACUGUUUAUGCCACAGCUCAGUUACCCACAAACCCCUCUGUUUCUCCUGACACUGUUUAUGCCACAGCUCAGUUACCCACAAACCCCUCUGUUUCUCCUGACACUGUUUAUGCCACAGCUCAGUUACCCACAAACCCCUCUGUUUCUCCUGACACUGUUUAUGCCACAGUUCAGAAAGACACUGGUGACUCUCAGAUCUUGAUCACAUCUGCUGAGGACCCGAAUUACUCCGUGGUGAAUUUCCAGAAGAAAGCAGACUGUCCUGACAGUGUUAGAUUGAGGAAUAAUCAGGAUUACAGUGAAUAUGCUGCUGUCAAUCAUCUCACUGACUGACGACACACAGCAGAUAAUCUCAUUGAACUGAAAGCUUUGAUUUUGGUUUCAGGCUUCCAUGUUUCGUAUUUUUGUUAUUUUUGUGGCUCUCCUCUGCUGUAUAUUUAAGACAGUCUUGCAGGUCAAACUUUUGACUGUCGACGUGAAGGAUGUUUAAAUGACAGAGCAGUGUUUUGUUCUGCAAAGAAAUGAUCAGAAACCCUUGAGUUUUUGGUCUGCAUUUGAUGUAAAUAAGUUCUGAAUAUUUCUGAGACAAAAGAAUAUGUGUCUGUGAUCAGUUAGUUUGGUUAACGUUAAACUACACGUCUGGCUACCUGCGGUUCUUGUGAAACUUUUAUUAAGUCUCAGUGUUUAAAAGUUCUCAAACUUUUACACAUGCAGCAGCUAUUGCUUUUUUUCCUCAGUGUUCAUUUUAAAAGCUUGUUAACUUAGAAAGGAAAAUUUAGUAAACCAAGAUGAAGUCAUGAUAUUGUAUUCAAAUAUGAUAUGAAUGGACUAUGGAAAGCUGAAAUGAUCAAAAAGCAAAACUUCUGUCCUCUGAGAUGAAGUGUGAGAGGGAGUUAUUUUGGUUAAAUAUUACCUGAAUGUAUAUGAGUACAUGAAUGAGUGAGUACAUUAAUUAAAAAAAUAAUAAUACUGAUGAUGUGCACAGAUAAAUAUUUUAUAAUGAAUACUGCAAUGUUCCAUAAAAAAGAACAGUGCAUUUUGAUUUCAAAGCUAUUUUAAUCAAUCAGCAAUGUGCUUAUUUGGUCACCAUGGUAACCGCUGAUGGUUGCAAGUUUUUCCUCUAGAUGUCGCUGUCAAUUUACAGUCUUUGAGAUUCUAGUCUGAAUAAAAAUUCUGGGUAUAUUUUUGUAGAAAUAUCUCAAAUAAUGCUUUGAAAACAAAUUUGAAUUGUCAAACGUCCAUGAGUCUUGCAUGUUUAUCUGAACAUAUAUUAUCAUAUCUUCUCUUUUUAUCUCUCUCUCUCUCACUUCCGGUGUGUUUGUUGAGCGUGAGCAGAUGGAGUGGUGCGAGUGUGGGUGGUGACUGUGAGUGAAUCAUUUUUCUUUUCUUUUUUUCUUGCUUAAGUUUUUGUCUUAGGCAUUACACGAGGAGUUGGCCAAGAUGGCGCUCUGACUAUUUUGAAGAAAAGCCCCAGCACCAACUCUGCCCUGCCAGGCCCCAGCACCAACUCUGCCCUGCCAGGACCCACCACCAACUCUGCCCUGCCAGGCCCCAGCACCAACUCUGCCCUGCCAGGCCCCAGCACCAACUCUGCAUAGUCAGAUACAGG
ensembl:lncRNA